rnacentral:lncRNA from 1 species
GCAUCAAGUGCUCUAGUCUUUAUAACGCUAGAGUAGUAAUUAAUAGAUUAGACGUGGUGUUUAGUCUUGCGAUUACCUGGAAUUGCACCCAAUCCUAUGGAUUGUUGUGGUAGCCCUAGGGUAGUGACAGCCCUAACGGUCGACGUAUUCCACCACAUUCGGAUCGGUGUUUGUAGGACCGUAGUCAGACCUUCCUAGCCGCCUUCUCAUCUCUUUCUGUGGUUAGUGCUCUGAUGUCCCGAUAUAGAUAAUCUUGAAGUAAUUCUUGAUUCUUAGAUCAGCUAGAGAACUCUCAGGAAACUUCCUCUCUUCCCACCAAAAAUAAUUAUAUAGUUAUCCUUGGGCGAUCUUGGAUCUUAAUUAGUACACUCACGUUCUAUGUGGAAAAUCGAUACUCUGGAAUACUCCCGGGUGAAGGCUACAUCGGUAUCCGUGCACUUGCGGAUUUUUCUGUUUGCGUUUAAAAUACCCAACAGUCCCGUCACCAAGCUGCUCCUUGUCCCAAUAGUAGCGAGGUUCCCUUCCUUUGGGAUACCCC